CAUGUCCCUGACGCAAAAGAAGUCCCACUGCUUUUAAAUCGGCUUGUCUCUACCGCCACCUACAGCCUGGUGCCCAAAUGUCAAAAAUAAGAGCACCACGUCGGGCAGCCAGAUGUGUUUGGAAGGCAGCCUGACCUUCAGCAUGCCGUCAAACUCCUCCGGGACCCAAGUCAGGCGAUAGUCCUGCCACUCCUGUGGGCCAGAAAAAACCCCCACAUCAGCACCAGGAAGACAUACUGAGCGGAAAGAGUCUGUCGCUCUGUCUUUAAAUCAGCAUGCAGGCGAGGAACAAACUGUCCUCUCCUGCAACUUUUACAAGAGAGAUUUGAUCCUGAAUGGCUUCUAAAAGCAAUCAGCUUGAUUAAAA